AGUGAACGCUGGCGGUAGGCCUAACACAUGCAAGUCGAACGGCAGCACAGUAAGAGCUUGCUCUUACGGGUGGCGAGUGGCGGACGGGUGAGGAAUACAUCGGAAUCUACUUUUUCGUGGGGGAUAACGUAGGGAAACUUACGCUAAUACCGCAUACGACCUACGGGUGAAAGCAGGGGAGCUUCGGACCUGGCGCGAGGGAAGGAGCCGAUGUCGGAUUAGCGAGUUGGCGGGGUAAAGGCCCACCAAGGCGACGAUCCGUAGCUGGUCUGAGAGGAUGAUCCGCCACACUGGACCUGCGACACGGUCCAGCCUCCUACGGGAGGCAGCAGUGGGGCAUAUUGGCCCCUCGGCGCACGCCUGCUCCAGCCCUCCCGCGUGGGUGAAGCAGGCCUUCGGGUUGUAAAGCCCUUUUGUUGGGACAGACAAGCAGCAGGUUAAUCCCCCGCUGUUCUGCCGGUCCCCAACGCAUAAGCACCGGCUAACUUCGUG
rnacentral:rRNA from 1 species